rnacentral:rRNA from 1 species
UACGGAGGGUGCAAGCGUUGUCCGGAUUUAUUGGGUUUAAAGGGUGCGUAGGUGGCCUUAUAAGUCAGCGGUGAAAGUCUGCAGCUUAACUGUAGAACUGCCAUUGAUACUGUAGGGCUUGAGUACUGAUGAGGUAGGCGGAAUUGAUAGUGUAGCGGUGAAAUGCAUAGAUAUUAUCAAGAACACCGAUUGCGAAGGCAGCUUACUAAGGAGUUACUGACACUGAGGCACGAAAGCGUGGGGAUCAAACAGG